rnacentral:misc_RNA from 1 species
AGCAGAAGUCUUUAUUGAUAAAAUCUGCGUAAGUUAUAAAUAUUCCAUGCCUGUGGAAGAUCAAUACCACCGAGGUAGGCAAUCUUGUAAGAGCAUUGGUGGAUGACUUUAGAUAUGAUAUAGGGACCUUCCCAAUUACUGCCUAGCUUGCUGGCCCUGGCUGCUACUCUUGAGACAUCGACUCGUUUCAUGACUAGAUCACCAACUAUGAAUGAUCGGUGCCUCACAUUUUUGUUAUAUAUUUGAACCAUCUUUGGUCUAUAUUCCACCAUUUCAUCUGGAUGCUCGCUCCUGCAGGACUUCGUCUUGGUCAAGAUUGGGCCGAAGACCAUUUUCAUUUGCAGCGACCUCAAGAUUCUUAGUUUGAGCACUGACAUAAUUUCUGCAGGAAUAACAAUGUCUGAGCCAUAUGCUAAAGAGAAUGGUCUCCCCAAUUGCCGAUCUGGGAGUGGUUCGGUAUGCCCACAAAACGUGUGGUAACUCAUU